GAAAUGCGAUAAGUAGUGUGAAUUGCAGAAUUCAGUGAAUCAUCGAAUCUUUGAACGCACAUUGCGCCCUUUGGUUUUCCAAAGGGCAUGCCUGUUCGAGCGUCAUUUGUACCCUCAAGCUUUGCUUGGUGUUGGGCGUCUUGUCUCCAGUUCGCUGGAGACUCGCCUUAAAGUAAUUGGCAGCCGGCCUACUGGUUUCGGAGCGCAGCACAAGUCGCACUCUCUUCCAGCCAAGGUCAGCAUCCACAAAGCCUUUUUUCAACUUUUGACCUCGGAUCAGGUAGGGAUACCCGCUGAACUUAAGC
rnacentral:misc_RNA from 1 species